rnacentral:rRNA from 1 species
CCUACGGGAGGCAGCCGUGGGGAAUAUUGGGCAAUGGGCGCUAGCCUGAACCAGCAAAGCCGCGUGAAGGAAGACUGCCCUCGGGUUGUUAAAUUCCUUUUAUAUGGGAAUAGAGUGCAGUAUGUAUACUGAUUUGACUGUACCUUAUGAAUAAUGAGCGGCUAACGCCGUGCCAUCAGCCGCGGUAAUGCGGAUGGUCCGAGCGUUAUCAGGAGUGAUUGGGUUGAAAGGGAGCGUAGGCGGGUGGUUAAGUCAGUUGUGAAAGCUUGCGGCUCAACAGUAAAAGUGCAGGUGAUACUGGUAGCCUUGAGUACAGUAGAGGUGGGCGGAAGUCGUGGUGUAGCGGUGAAAUGCGUAGAUAUCACGAAGAACACCGGUGGCGAAGGCAGCCUGCUGGACGGUAACUGACGCUGAGGCGCGAAAGCGUGGGGAGCAAACAGGAUUAGAUACCCCAGUAGUC